rnacentral:lncRNA from 1 species
GUCCUGGGGGUCCAUCUGAGGCUGUAACAAGAGAGUCUAGCCUGAUGAUGUGCCUUUCUAAAGGGCGAGGGCUUCUGGAGGCAGGAGGGAGAAUGGUUGGGGGGUGACAAUGAAGAGCAAGGAGGUCACCACCUCCCCUUCAGGCCCCUUGGUACAAGGGUAGUGGGACAGAAAACAAACCCAACCCAAGACGGCUACAGUGGAAGCUUGCUCUCAGAAAGGAGCCAGGUUUUGGUUAAAGGGAGAAUAGGAAAGGAAUAUUUAAAGAAGCUGAUGAUAUUUACUUUCUAUGCCCAGCACUCAGCUGGACACUGAGACAGUGAACAAAAGAGUGAAAUAUCCUCCCUCCUGGGCCUUAUGUUCCACCUGGUGAGACAGAGUAAACAAGAUUGAAAAAGUCAAAUAUAUAGUCUACUAGAUAGUGCUAAAUAUUAGGGGAAAAAAUAAAGCAGUGAAGAAAGAUCGAAGUGUCAGUAAUUGGGAGUUAAAACUAUAAUAGUUAGCUAAGACAGGCUCCCUGAGAAGAAGACAUUGAGUAAAGGCCUGAAGGAAAUUGGAGAGCUGACCAGAGACCUGGGGGUAAGAAGAACAGCAACUGCAAAGGCCCUGAGGUGACAGCAUGCCCACAAUGUCUGAGGAAGAGCGAGGAGGGGUCACCCGGCUCACUGGUGAUGCAGCUGGAAUAUCAACCCAGGCAAUCUGACUUUAGACUCCAAGCUUCGACCUACAAGAACUUACUUCAUCAGGAGCUAGAGUUACUGAGGAAUAUUAUCAGACCUGAUCCUCAAAUUUAGUAUUGGCAGUGUAAUGCUUUUAGGUUGUUUCCACAUCUUGGCUACUGUGAAUAAUGCUGCAAUGAACUUCUUGAGGAAAACUGAAGAUGGAGGCAGAGACUGCAGUCAGGCAGCUGCAAGGUGAGGAACACCACGGACUGACGGCACCAGCAGAAACGAGGAAGAGGCAAGAAAGGAUUCUACCCAGAGCCUCAGAGAGAGCAUGGCCCUGCUGACACCUCGAUUUCAGACUUGUAGGCUCCAGAACUGGAGAUAAUAAAGCUCUGUUUUUCUAAGCCA